ACCAGGAUGGCCGAGUGGUUAAGGCGCUGGACUUAAGUUCCAUAAGUCCACGUGGGUUCGAACCCCACUCCUGGUA